ensembl:lncRNA
CGGGGACAAUGCUGGGGCCUGAGCGGGCUCCAGGGCUCCAGGAGGAUCUGGAGCAGGGGAUGGCUCUCCCUGCUCCCUGGCGACAGCUUCAGCCUGCCCCAGGGCACUGGCAGGAGCCGGAGCAGGGGAUGGCUCUCCCUGCUCAGCUGGUUCCAUGAGAGCCGGCUGCAUGGCUCCUGCCCGAGCCUGAGGAGGGGCUGGCUCUCCCUGCUCCCGUCCUGGGGCGCCGCUUGUCUCCUGCCCUUGUGCAGGAGCUGCUGGAUGUGAUUGUGCUCCCCGCACACGGGCUGGGGCCUGUGCUGGCUCUGAUCCUUGUCCAACAGUCCCUGAGGACGGCAGCCUUUUCCCCACGCCUGCCACUACGCUGUUCCUGCCCAGCUUCUCCUCCCUCGGGGAGCUGGACUCCGUGUCCCGAGUGGACCUCUGCAAAGACAGUGACCAACAGUCAGCCCAGAAGCAUCAGAGCCCUGCUCAGCUGCCCCUGCUCUUUCUUCUGCCCUCUGCCCCUAAUGCUCCCACAUCAGGCACCACCCUGUGUCUGUGCAGAAUUCUCCCCGGGAUGAAACAGAUAGACCUCAGGGGCUCGGGAGAAACCUCGGGCAGACGGUGCUUCCCGGCACUCCACGUCCCACCCGAUCAGCCAUGAACUGGGGUGGGAAUGGGCCCGGCCCACCAGGCUUCUAACCCCUCAUCAGCCUGCUCCUCCUCGCGGUGGUCCACUCACACAAACCACCCUUCCACACACACACACACACAUGCACACACACACUAACACACACACACACACACACACACACACACCCCCAGGGAGGGGACGUAGGGCUGUCCAAGUGGGACCACAGUGGUGGCCUGGCCUGGAUUGGCCCACCCCGGGCGUCCCUGUGUUACCUUUGUGUCCCUCCGCACGAACGUCCAGAGACGUCUUGAGCGGGACAGGAGCCCGCCUUUGCGUCCAGGGCACUCCUUGCGGGCUCUGCUGAGGCUGCGGCCCCGGCAGAUAGGCAGACAGCAG